rnacentral:lncRNA from 1 species
UACGGGUUACAUAGCUCCAGCCUCCAGUGGAUCAAAAACUCAUUUGCCAAUGCCACAAUAAAGUCAUGACAAAGGGAGUCAAAUACCCUCCAUUUCCUUAUCCCAUCCUGCCAAUAGAAGUAAAAUUUGUUACAAAAUAGUUCCUACACUUCUAUACAUUAGUAUGAAAUCAAUGGCAGCGAAUGGGCGGGUAUAUAUCCUAUGGAAUCCACGAUGGUAUGAUGUUAUACAGAUUGAAGAGGAGGCCCAAUUCUUACAUUGCUUAGUGAAAGGAAGAACUGAUGGGUUUGAAGUCGUAGUCACUAUCAUAUAUGGCUUUAACAAUCUAGAACAAAGGAAGUCAAUGUGGCUGGAACUACGUAGAAUUGGACAAACGGUAAAUAAACCUUGGUUGUUGUGGGGGUGAUUUCAAUGCUGUAUUAUCGCCAAAGGACAGACUAAUGGGUAAUCCUGUGACUCAGGGUGAAAUACAGGAUUUUUCUGCCUCUGUACAACGCUUAUCCCUAAAUGAACUAUCUUAGAAAGAAGAAUUUUUCACCUGGACAAACAAGCAACCAGGGGCUAAUAGAAUAUGGAGUAGACUGGAUAGGGCUCUUGGAAAUUUUGACUGGAUGAUGAACUGGGGAUAUGUAUGUGCAGGUUGAGUAUGACUUGCCCAUGAUCUCUGACCACUCCCCCAUGGUUCUUAAAUUACACACAGCACCCCAAGUUAACAAGACUCCGUUCAGAUUCUUCAAUGUCCUAGUUGAUCAUGAAGAAUUCUUUCCUAUAGUCAAUGAAGUAUGGAGAUAACAAAAGGACCAAUAGAGUAUGAAGAAUGUAUGGCUUAAGCUAAGGGCACUCAAGCCAUUACUCAAGAAGCAGAAUAACAGAGAAUUCAAGAAUGUGAGGCAACAAAUUGACAAUGUCAGGAUAGAGUUGAAGGUAGUCCAAGCACAAUUUACUAGGCAAUGUAGCAAUGGGCUGAUCAAUGUCGAAAAGACUAUCCUCCAGAAUCUAGAAAAGUGGUCUUUGAUAUAAGAGAACAUCGUGAAGCAAAAGUCUAGAGCAAGGUGGAUUAAGCUUGGAGAUUCCAACACCAAGUAUUUCUCUGCUGUUAUGAAGGAAAGGACCCAGAGGAAACAAAUAUCUGAAAUUAUGGCGCUGUCAGGAGACAUACAGAGAGAAAUAGUAGAUCUCUACAUGAGUCUUAUGGGUUCUACAGCCAUUGUAUUACCAGCAAUAGACCAAUUGGUGAUGAGAAGAGGACCUACACUUACUAUAGCGCAACAAACUAGUUUACAUACCGAAGUCACUGAUCAAGAGAUUCUAGACAGCCUCUAUGGUAUUGAUGAUGACAAAGCACCUGGCAUGAUGGUUUCGAUGUAUAUUUCUUCAAAAAAGCAUGGCCAGUAAUCCACAAUGAUGUGAUGUUAGCUGUUAAAGAGUUGUUUCACACAGGAAAAUUAUUCAGUGCCGUAAAUUGCACUACUAUUACUUUAGUGCCUAAAGUUGACAAUCCUACGACAGUGAAAGACUAUAGACCUAUAGCCUGUUGCACUUUAUUAUACAAGUUGAUCUCCAAAGUCCUGCCAGCUAGGUUACCGGAAGUCAUAGCCUCUAUCAUCUGUGAAGCCUAAUCUGGAUUCAUUCCUGGGAGACGAAUUUCAGACAAUACCCUUAAAGCUCAUGAGCUUGUUAAAGCUUACACUAGGAAACACAUUUCUGAUCGAUGCAUGCGUAUGAUUUAGUGGAGUGGAUAUACUUAGAGCAAAUCCUAGAGAGCCUAGACUUUCACCUUAAGUUCAGGGGGUGGUUGAUGCAAUGUAUUAAGACUGUUAACUAUUCCGUGUUGAUAAAUGGGGAGACUACAAAGCCGUUCAAUGCAGCAAAAGGACUAAGGCAAUUGGACCCAAUUUCCCCCUUUUUAUUUGCCAUAGUGAUGGAAUACCUGAGUAGGAAUCUAAACAACCUCAAAGACGAAAAUACUUUCAGAUUCCACCCAAGAUGCUCCAAGAUGGAAAUUACACGCCUGAGCUUUGCUGACGACCUGCUCCUAUUUGCAAGAGGAGACCUCCCAUCUGUUACAGCCUUAUACAAAUGCUUCCUCAAGUUCUCACACGCAUCUGGUCUUCAGGCAAAUAUGAGCAAACGCUCUGUCUACUUUGGAAGAGUAGCUCCAACAGAGAGGAACAAAAUACUUCAACAUCUUGGAUUUGAAAUUGGAGACUUACC